rnacentral:rRNA from 1 species
UACGUAGGGUGCAGGCGUUAAUCGGAAUUACUGGGCGUAAAGCGCACGUAGGCGGUCCGCUAAGUCGGGUGUGAAAUCCCUCGGCUCAACCGAGGAAGGGCAUCCGAAACUGACGGGCUUGAGUACGGAAGAGGGUCUCGGAAUUCCCGGUGUAGAGGUGAAAUUCGUAGAUAUCGGGAGGAACACCAGUGGCGAAGGCGACUUCCUGGCCUGUUCUUGACGCUGAGGCGCGAAAGCUAGGGUAGCAAACGGG